UGCAUAUCAAUAAGCGGAGGAAAAGAAACCAACAGGGAUUGCCCUAGUAACGGCGAGUGAAGCGGCAACAGCUCAAAUUUGAAAUCUGGCUUCGGCCCGAGUUGUAAUUUGCAGAGGAAGCUUUGGGCGCGGCACCGACCGAGUCCCCUGGAACGGGGCGCCAUAGAGGGUGAGAGCCCCGUAUGGUCGGACGCCUAGCCUGUGUAAAGCUCCUUCGACGAGUCGAGUAGUUUGGGAAUGCUGCUCAAAAUGGGAGGUAAAUUUCUUCUAAAGCUAAAUACCGGCCAGAGACCGAUAGCGCACAAGUAGAGUGAUCGAAAGAUGAAAAGCACUUUGAAAAGAGGGUUAAAUAGCACGUGAAAUUGUUGAAAGGGAAGCGCUUGUGACCAGACUUGCGCCCGGCUGAUCAUCCGGUGUUCUCACCGGUGCACUCUGCCGGGCUCAGGCCAGCAUCGGUUCUCGCGGGGGGAUAAAGGCCCAGGGAACGUGGCUCCUCCGGGAGUGUUAUAGCCCUGGGUGCAAUGCCCUCGCGGGGACCGAGGUUCGCGCAUCUGCAAGGAUGCUGGCGUAAUGGUCAUCAGCGACCCGUCUUGAAACACGGACCA
rnacentral:rRNA from 1 species